rnacentral:rRNA from 1 species
UGGGGAAUAUUGGGCAAUGGGCGAAAGCCUGACCCAGCAACGCCGCGUGAAGGAAGAAGGUUUUCGGAUUGUAAACUUCUGUCCUAAGUGACGAAGGAAGUGACGGUAGCUUAGGAGGAAGCCCCGGCUAACUACGUGCCAGCAGCCGCGGUAAUACGUAGGGGGCGAGCGUUGUCCGGAAUGACUGGGCGUAAAGGGCGUGUAGGCGGCCGAUUAAGUAUGGAGUGAAAUUCCAGCUUUCAAGGUUGGACUUGCUUUGUAGACUGGUUGGCUUGAGUGCGGAAGAGGUAAGUGGAAUUCCCAGUGUAGCGGUGAAAUGCGUAGAGAUUGGGAGGAACACCAGUGGCGAAGGCGACUUACUGGGCCGUAACUGACGCUGAGGCGCGAAAGCGUGGGGAGCGAACAGGAUUAGAUACCC